UCUACCUUCUACCUCCGAUCCCCUCCUCCUCCUCCCGCGGCCGCACGACGCGCCAGUCGCCCUUCUUCUGUGACCUCGCCUCCCCCGUCCCGUCCCACCACGGCGCCCCCACUUCGCCUCUCCCGCGGCCGCCCUGCCCUCCGCACGCCGCCGUCAUCGCGGCGUCGCCCCCCCACCUGCCCGGCCGCACCCACCUCCGGAGCAGGUGAGGAUCCUCCCAGUCGUGGUUUCUGCUCGCCGGCGUCGUGGUUUCGCCGAGUCAAAUCCAUCAGUUCCUCGCACGCACGCGGCAGAAUUUCAUGCGAAAUUCCAGCAGAAGUGACACACAUCACAUCACAUCCCAGUGUCCGCGUCUCCACUCCCUCGCACCCUCGUCAGAUCCACCGCCGCUGCCCGCCUCCUGGCUCCCCCGAGCUCCCCCACCUCCAGAUCCGGAGGCUGGUAAUGGUGUCGUCGCCUCCGCACCCGCAAGCAGCACCGCCCCUCUAAGCCGCUCUCCACACAUCGCGGAGUCUCCGUCUCCAUCACCGUCGCCGUCGCCGGCCCCCCACCGCUGCCUCGACCACGCCCCCACCCACCUGAGGUUGAUGUUGAAGGGGGUUCGAUCCAUGCGUGGCUCGAGUGAAAUCCAUGGGCGAGAUUGGAGGAUGUACGGGGGUUCGAUUUGUGCGUGGCUCGGGUGAAAUCGGUGAGCAAGCUUGCAGGUUGGAGCGCGGGGGCUUGAUUUGUGCGUGUUUCGAGGUGAAAUCCGUGAGCGAGCUUGGAGCAUGGCGGUUCGAUUUGGUAAUCUCUGACGGCAUUCUCUGCAGGUGGCGAUGUUUGCUUGUUAGGAUGAUGGGUUGCUUGGUGGUUGCCGUUGUAGGCUGCCUGGUGACUAUGGGUCUGAUCCCCUGGGGCUCGGGAAGCAGCCCAAGGACCUGAAGUGGUACGUCCAGGCCGAGCUCGUGCACUGCCGGUUUGCCAUGGCAGGGGUUGCCGGCAUCCUCGAAUCUGAUCUGAUCCGUGUAUCAGGACUCGGCAACCUACCAGUAUGGUUUGAAGCAGGUGCCAUAAAAUUUGAUUUCGCCAACACCACAACACUCUUCUUUGUCCAGCUUCUCUUGAUGGGGUUUGUCGAAACCAAGAGGUACAUGGAAUCAUGGAUGCAAACAGUUCUGGGUUGUAGAGUAUAGGCAGUCACAUGAUCCAGAAACAUGUAUACGUGUCAUGGACCAUGGAGCCCAGCCAUGGAUGAGCAGCAACAGUUCAAUGUCAAUGUCAAGGAGGAUGCCCGAGCUGACCAGGAGGACACCCUUCUGCACCUCAGCCACCACACAAGGUUAACACCUGGAGAGGCUUGAGCUAUUAGCAGCAAGCUGUUGCUGCUGCCGCCGGAUGCUCCAGCGGUGAAACCUCCAUCGAUUCCCUCCACGGCCACUACCACUACCCUAGCUACCGCCGCCGACGGAACCACCACCAUAUCCUCGCUCGGUCAAGACCAGCUCCUUGAGAUCUUCCUCCGACUGUCGAGCCUGCCGGCCCUUGUCCUCGUCACGCUCACUUGCCGCUCGUGGCUCGGCGCUGUCCGCUCCUCCCGAUCCUUCUGCAACCUCUUCCGCGCCCUCCACCCGGCGCCCCUCAUCGGGAUCUUCCUCGAUGUCGAUGAAGGCAAUGUCCGCUUAUUCGCCCCCUUCAGCCGCUCAGGUCCCAGCGUCAAUAAGGACAUUACACUGGCAGAUUAGCGCAAUUUUUCCUUUUUAUUUUUCUUAUUAUUGGAGUGAGGAUGUUAGAAUGAGGAAAUGUAUGAUAGUAGAUACGGCAACAGUGUAAUAGUAUAAUCAGGAAUAAUGAUAUUUCCAUCACUAUUGUGUUUUCUCUAACUGUAUGCAUA